CCCUAUUACGUAUACUUAUUAUUACCUUUUUAUAUAACUAAACCAAAGUUGUAGUUUAAUAAUUCUGGGGAAAGAUGUUGGGCUGUGUACAUGAAUAUUGAAUAGGUUAAUAGUUGUUGAGCAGUGAUACAAUUGUGAAAGAUAUUUGGAAGUAGUCUUUGACCUCUGGAAUUUUGUUAAGUGUAAUUAAGUGGUGAUUAAGAUGGGCACAACAAUCACUACAGCGGAGUUGAAGGAGAUUUUGGAGGGCAUGGCCAAGAUGUUUGCCUCUAAAGGAGAGGGAACAUCUUCACAUGAGGUGAUUUCAAGAACUGAAAGUAUGCAAUCACAGAGGUUGGAACUAUUUCCUAUAGAGCAAAAGCUUGAAGGUGUAAAGAAUUAUUUG
rnacentral:lncRNA from 1 species